UGAAGAAUUUGUCCAACGGUAGGGGAUAGCCGGCCCAACGGCCGGGUAAUACCGCGUACGCCCUUCGAGCGGCAUCGCUUGAUGGGGAAAGUCGCAAGACGCCGAUGGAGAACUUCGCGGCCUAUCAGCUAGUUGGUGAGGUCAUGGCUCACCAAGGCGACGACGGGUAGCUGGUCCGAGAGGAUGACCAGCCACAUUGGGACUGAGACACGGUCCAGACUCCGACGGGAGGNAG
rnacentral:rRNA from 1 species